rnacentral:rRNA from 1 species
UACAGAGGUGGCAAGCGUUGUUCGGAAUUACUGGGCGUAAAGGGCGCGUAGGCGGCCUACUAAGUCAGACGUGAAAUCCCUCGGCUUAACCGGGGAACUGCGCCUGAUACUGGAUGGCUUGAAUUCGGGAGAGGGAUGUGGAAUUCCAGGUGUAGCGGUGAAAUGCGUAGAUAUCUGGAGGAACACCGGUGGCGACGGCGGCAUCCUGGACCGAUAUUGACGCUGAUGCGCGAAAGCCAGGGGAGCAAACGGG